AGCAUGCACGGGCUCUAUUGAAGUGUCCGAUCCUAAUAUAGUCUAUUAGAUUAUGUUAUUUCAUGCUUUUGAUCAGGUAAACAUCUGUAUUUAUAAGAACCCUACUUCAACUAUUGUCAUUUGUUUCUGUGGAGUCCAGUUCAAUCUCAAAAUGGGUUUAACCCUAACCUGUGAGUAAACAAGCAAAAGACAGUACAAGAUUUCAGGAUCUAAUCAUGAGGUCUGAAGGCCAAAUAAGGCUUGAGGUUUUACAGUAGUUGGGAGGACUACCUGGUCAAAUAUGUCAUUGUUAUUCUAUGAGUAUAGAUUACAACAUUUAGAAUAUACUGCAUAUCAGAUCCACU